rnacentral:rRNA from 1 species
AUUGAACGCUGGCGGCAGGCCUAACACAUGCAAGUCGAGCGAGCGGCGGACGGGUGAGUAAUGUAUGGGGACUGCCCGAUAGAGGGGGAUAACUCCUGGAAACGGUAGCUAAUACCGCAUACUAUCGGAUAACCCAUGUGGGAUUAGCUGGUAGGUGAGGUAAUGGCUCACCUAGGCGACGAUCCCUAGCUGGUCUGAGAGGAUGAUGAGGCAAAAGGGGACUGAGACACGGCGCAGAAGCCUAGGGAGGCAGCAGUGGGGAAUAUGGCACGAUGGGCGCAGGCCUGAUGCAGCCAUGCCGCGGGUAUGAAGAAGGCCCUAGGGUUGUAAAGUACUUUCAGUCGGGAGGCGUUACCGACAGAAGAAGCGCCGGCUAACUCCGUGCCAGCAGCCGCGGUAAUUC